rnacentral:rRNA from 1 species
GACGAACCGUGCGAACGUUAUUCGGAAUCAUUGGGCUUAAAGCGCGUGUAGGCGGGCCGGCACGUCGGUCGCUGAAAUCCCCCGGCUCAACCGGGGAAGGGGCGCCGAUACGACCGGCCGUGGAGGGGCGUAGGGGGACCUGGAACUUCCGGUGGAGCGGUGAAAUGCGUAGAUAUCGCUUGGAACGCCAAAGGUGAAAACAGGGUUGCUGGGGGUUGUGCCGAACGCUGAGACACGAAAGCCAGGGGAGCAAACGGG